rnacentral:rRNA from 1 species
GACGAACGCUGGCGGCGUGCUUAACACAUGCAAGUCGAACGGAAAGGCCCUGCUUUUGUGGGGUGCUCGAGUGGCGAACGGGUGAGUAACACGUGAGUAACCUGCCCUUGACUUUGGGAUAACUUCAGGAAACUGGGGCUAAUACCGGAUAGGAGCUCCUGCUGCAUGGUGGGGGUUGGAAAGUUUCGGCGGUUGGGGAUGGACUCGCGGCUUAUCAGCUUGUUGGUGGGGUAGUGGCUUACCAAGGCUUUGACGGGUAGCCGGCCUGAGAGGGUGACCGGCCACAUUGGGACUGAGAUACGGCCCAGACGCCUACGGGAGGCAGAAGUGGGGAAUAUUGCACAAUGGGCGGAAGCCUGAUGCAGCAACGCCGCGUGCGGGAUGACGGCCUUCGGGUUGUAAACCGCUUUCGCCUGUGACGAAGCGGGAGUGACGGUAAUGGGUAAAGAAGCACCGGCUAACUACGUG